rfam:Solanum tuberosum cultivar DM 1-3 516 R44 scf00117_114, whole genome shotgun sequence.
CGAGCCUAGUUAGUGUUGGAGUUGGGUUGGUUGAUCGCCUAAAAAAUGAUUCAAUCGGGCGGCUUCGUUGUCUGUAAUGUAGUCUGAUGAAGCGUUCUCAGCGGCAGACCAGGCCUAUGUCCCCUGGAAGGGGGCGCCAGAGAGGGUGACAGCCCCAUUGUGCUUGGAUCUUGUCGCUCCACGAGGCGUUGUCUACAAGUCGGGUUGUUUGGGAAUGCUGCCCAAAUCGGGCGAUGAAUUUUGUCCAAGGCUAAAUACGGGCGAGAGACCGAUAGCGAACAAGUACCGUGAGGGAAAGAUAAAAAAGGACUUUGAAAAGGGAGUCAAUGAGUGCUUGAAAUUGUCGGGAGGGAAGCAGAUGGGGGCCGAUGAUGUGCCCCGAUCGGAUGUGGAACGGUGAUGAGCUGGUCUUCCGAUCGACUCGGGGCGUGGACCAACAUGGAUUGGGGGGGCGACCAAACCCCAGGCUCUCGAUACGCUCGUGGAAUGCCAUCUCCUUGAUUAUGGUAGGCAGUGCACGCCUCUGGCGUGCUUCGGUAUCUGCGCGCUCUGGAAGCUAUCUUGUGGGCUCCCCGUUCGACCUGUCUUGAAACACGGACCAAGAAGUCUGACAUAUAUGUGAGUCAACGGGCGAGUAAACCCAUAAGUCGUAAGGAAGUUUAUUGGUGGGAUCCCCCUGAAGUGUGCACCACCGACCGACCUUGAUCUUCUAAGAAGGGUUCGAGUUUGAGCAUACCUGUCGGGACUCGAUAGAUAGUGAACUAUGCCUGAGCGAGGCGAAGCCAAAUAAACUCUGGUGGAGGCCCGCAGUGAUACUGACGUGUAAAUAAUUCAUCUGACUUGGGUAUAAGGGCGAAAGACUAAUCGAACCAUCUAAUAGCUGGUUCCCUCCGAAGUUUCCCUCAGCACAGCUGGAGCUCACGCGGGAGUUCUAUCGGGUAAAGCCAAUGAUUAGAGGCCUCGGGGGUGCAAUUCCCUCGACCUAUUCUCAAACUUUAAAUAGGUAGGACGACACAACUUCUGUGUUGAGCCGCGCCACGAAAUCUAGAGCUCCACGUGGGCCAUUUUUGGUAAGCAGAACUAGCGAUGCGGGAUGAACCGGAAGCCGGGUUACGGUGCCAAACUGCGCGCUAACCUAGAUCCCACAAAGGGUGUUGGUAGAUUAAGACAGCAGGACAGUGGUCAUGGAAAUCGAAAUCCACUAAGGAGUGUGUAACAACUCACCUGCCGAAUCAGCUAGCCCCGAAAAUGGAUGGCGCUUAAGCGCGUGACCUACACCCGAUUGUCGGGGAAAGCGCCAAGCCCCGAUGAGUAGUAGGGCGCGGUGGUCGCUGCAAAACCUUAGGCGUGAGCCUGGGCAGAGCGGCCGUUGGUGCAGAUCUAUGUGGUAGUAGCAACUAUUCAAAUGUGAACUUUGAAGGCCGAAUAGGGGAAAGGUUCCAUGUGAACGGAACUUGCACAUGGGUUAGUCGAUCCGAAAGGUCGAGGGAACCCCGACAGAUAGCGCGUUUCGCGUGUACUCUGAAAGGGAAUCGGGUUAAAAUUCAUGAACUGGGACGUGGCGGUUGACGACAAUGUUAGGAAGUCCAGAGACGUCAGUGGGAGCCUUGCGAAGAGUUAUCUUUUCUGUUUAACAGCUUGCCCACCCUGGAAUCGGCUCAGCCAGAGGUACGGUUCGAUUCAGCCCUUUGUCGCUCCGAUUCGUCCCCCCUCUCCCCCACCUUCCCCCUCCCCCAACCUCAAAUCUAAUCAUUUCUGACUUUUCAAACAGGAGGUUUACGUAUUGCUUGCAUCCUUAGAAGGACAAAAAGCACUAAGUGUUGAAAAAAAAGUGCCGAUAAUAACUUUCUACGU